UGACAGGUUAGCAGACCACAGUCGCUGC
rnacentral:sRNA from 1 species